ACUUUGGGUGUUACAAACUCUCAUGGUGUGACGGGCGGUGUGUACAAGGCCCGGGAACGUAUUCACCGCGGCAUGCUGAUCCGCGAUUACUAGCGAUUCCGACUUCAUGUAGGCGAGUUGCAGCCUACAAUCCGAACUGAGAAUGGCUUUAAGAGAUUAGCUUACUCUCGCGAGUUCGCAACUCGUUGUACCAUCCAUUGUAGCACGUGUGUAGCCCAGGUCAUAAGGGGCAUGAUGAUUUGACGUCAUCCCCACCUUCCUCCGGUUUGUCACCGGCAGUCUCACCAGAGUGCCCAACUUAAUGCUGGCAACUGAUAAUAAGGGUUGCGCUCGUUGCGGGACUUAACCCAACAUCUCACGACACGAGCUGACGACAACCAUGCACCACCUGUAUCCAUGUCCCCGAAGGGAACGUCUAAUCUCUUAGAUUUGCAUAGUAUGUCAAGACCUGGUAAGGUUCUUCGCGUAGCUUCGAAUUAAACCACAUGCUCCACCGCUUGUGCGGGCCCCCGUCAAUUCCUUUGAGUUUCAGCCUUGCGGCCGUACUCCCCAGGCGGAAUGCUUAAUGCGUUAGCUGCAGCACUGAAGGGCGGAAACCCUCCAACACUUAGCAUUCAUCGUUUACGGUAUGGACUACCAGGGUAUCUAAUCCUGUUUGCUACCCAUACUUUCGAGCCUCAGCGUCAGUUACAGACCAGACAGCCGCCUUCGCCACUGGUGUUCUUCCAUAUAUCUACGCAUUUCACCGCUACACAUGGAGUUCCACUGUCCUCUUCUGCACUCAAGUUUCCCAGUUUCCGAUGCACUUCUUCGGUUGAGCCGAAGGCUUUCACAUCAGACUUAAAAAACCGCCUGCGCUCGCUUUACGCCCAAUAAAUCCGGACAACGCUUGCCACCUACGUAUUACCGCGGCUGCUGGCACGUAGUUAGCCGUGGCUUUCUGGUUAAAUACCGUCAAUACCUGAACAGUUACUCUCAGAUAUGUUCUUCUUUAACAACAGAGUUUUACGAGCCGAAACCCUUCUUCACUCACGCGGCGUUGCUCCAUCAGACUUUCGUCCAUUGUGGAAGAUUCCCUACUGCUGCCUCCCGUAGGAGUUUGGGCCGUGUCUCAGUCCCAAUGUGGCCGAUUACCCUCUCAGGUCGGCUACGUAUCAUUGCCAUGGUGAGCCGUUACCCCACCAUCUAGCUAAUACGCCGCGGGACCAUCCAAAAGUGAUAGCCGAAGCCAUCUUUCAAACUCGGACCAUGCGGUCCAAGUUGUUAUGCGGUAUUAGCAUCUGUUUCCAGGUGUUAUCCCCCGCUUCUGGGCAGGUUUCCCACGUGUUACUCACCAGUUCGCCACUCACUCAAAUGUAAAUCAUGAUGCAAGCACCAAUCAAUACCAGAGUUCG
rnacentral:rRNA from 1 species